GAAACAAUCCCAAAGUGAAAUAUUGUGCAAUACACAAAAAAUUGAAAAACUCUCGAGAGGAGGAGAAUUCUGCUUGGAUUUCUUGGCAACGCUCUGGCAAUUAUGGUUGGAGAGAUUGGAUUUUCUUAUCUCUUUGACCAACAAGAUGAGGAUGACGGCAAUGGAGGAAUCCAUUGGCAUCACGAAUGGCUUUGACUGGACCCAAUCGUGUAGCGAUCCAGGUCAGAGCUUGGGUUCCCGUUUCUGGUACGCGGCCAUAGGAGGUCAGUAGAGAAGAAAUUUAGGUCGUUUCUGGACCGGAACAACUUGCGUACAGCAGGCAAGAGUGGUGGCUAGGCCAUCCAGGUUGGGGCUCAGGAGAUCCCGACCUGGGUCUGAUCAUGUUCAAGGUUGGACAGCGGUAGUUGGUCCCUGACUUAGGUUAUUGGGACGACGUGGUUGCUUGGCCGGAGACGAAUUGCCGAAGAUGUAGUAAGAAAGAGUGGUGAGUAGAUGUAAGGUUUGGACAGACGGUGACAACCCGGGCUUGGCUUCCAGGUCGAUCUGUUAGCGUUGGCCCAAACGGAAGCGGCGCUUCUGGUGAGGGCUGCGACAUUGGUGGCGGUGUUGUGGCAAGCGGCGGUCCAACUGCUAGUGAACGGGAGUUUGGCGGUAGCAGGGAUGAGGAGCCUAGCCGCUUGGGUGCCCUCAAUAAUUGUAACUGGGCCUGGGUUUCAAACCCUUAGGGCUUUGGACCUUCGGCUGGGCUUUAGUUUGGUUUUGGGUGACUGACAUCUCGCUGAUUUCUUUCCCUGUGGGAAAGGAGUAAACGGGUUCUCAGUUUUGAGAUAUGUCACCAAAGAUGUUCACUUCAUCUGUGCCAUUUGAUUACUGAUGGGUGAUGUCGAAUAGUUUUUGGAUGUGCUUCAUUGUUCCAUAAAAAGGUUGAAUUGUUUAGAUAAUGGCUUUUUUGUCAGCCCUACAUGGGUAGGUCGUUAUGUAUGAUUCUUCUGAUCCAAUAAAAGAGUU
rnacentral:lncRNA from 1 species